ACGCCCCCCGCGCCAGUGCGCCUGCGCACUUGAGACCUCCGGCGGGCUGCUCGCCCUGAGAGCCAGACGUGCUCACGGUGGCCCUGUCUUCUCGGAUCCCAUCACAGUCCUUCCCGUUCUCUGACUGUCCCAUGCCUACAAGCCCUCUAGUAUUCAGGACCUCGCCAUGUUAACCCUAACCCCCAAGACUAUUCACACUGCAUCAACAGACGUCGUCAGCACUCAAGUUACACACAGGGAGAAAGUGUGAAGACUGGGUGUGAGGCCUGACGCGGCCCUCUGGGCUGCCUUCGUGCAGUGCUGUGAGCUGUUGUUCCGGCAGUUGACAUUCAGUAGCUAUGGUGACGCGCCAGGCCCUUAGUGGGUGCUGGAUCCCAGGACGGUCAGUCUGAUGGUCCAGCUGCCCACCAGGGGCUGGAACGGGCAGAGUCCAGGAUAAUCGGGAAGACAAAGGAGGCGAGACAUUUCCAGCUGGGAAUCUGGCCUUCCGAACAGUGGCAAGCUACCGAGAGGCUCCCAGGGUGAAGCUGACCUCAGCUGGAGCCACGGCCCAACAGUUUCACAUCACAGUCCUUCCUUCGUCAUCUGCUGAGGACACCUGUGCUGACUGUGCGUCAGCUUGACACAAGCCAGAGGCACCAGAGGAAGGAGCCUCAGCUGAGGAGCCGCCUCCAUGGGAUCCAGCUCUUGCUUCUCGGCCACGGUGUGUCUUCACAGCAAUAGCAACCCUAAGACAACACAUCACCCCAGGCAGAAGGCUGCUGUGUCUUCUGUGAGGGCCCACGCCAUGUUACUGUGUAACAACUGCACGUUCUCGUUGUUACCUCCUGAGAUGGUAGCCAAGGAUGCUCUAGGGCCCUCUGGAACAAUAAAGACCUCCGCUGAUGUUACAAGUGA